UACGGAGGGUGCAAGCGUUGUUCGGAAUUACUGGGCGUAAAGCGCGUGUAGGCGGUCGGGCAAGUCAGAUGUGAAAGCCUUCCGCUUAACGGAAGAAGUGCAUUUGAAACUACCCGGCUGGAGUACGGGAGAGGAGAGUGGAAUUCCCGGUGUAGAGGUGAAAUUCGUAGAGAUCGGGAGGAACACCAGUGGCGAAGGCGGCUCUCUGGUCCGAUACUGACGCUGAGACGCGAAAGAGUGGGGAGCAAACAGG
rnacentral:rRNA from 1 species